AUUGAACGCUGGCGGCAUGCUUUACACAUGCAAGUCGGACGGCAGCACAGAGAAGCUUGCUUCUUGGGUGGCGAGUGGCGAACGGGUGAGUAACAUAUCGGAACGUACCGAGUAAUGGGGGAUAACUAAUCGAAAGAUUAGCUAAUACCGCAUAUUCUCUGAGGAGGAAAGCAGGGGACCUUCGGGCCUUGCGUUAUUCGAGCGGCCGAUAUCUGAUUAGCUAGUUGGUGGGGUAAAGGCCUACCAAGGCGACGAUCAGUAGCGGGUCUGAGAGGAUGAUCCGCCACACUGGGACUGAGACACGGCCCAGACUCCUACGGGAGGCAGCAGUGGGGAAUUUUGGACAAUGGGCGCAAGCCUGAUCCAGCCAUGCCGCGCGUCUGAAGAAGGCCUUCGGGUUGUAAAGGACUUUUGUCAGGGAAGAAAAGGCUGUUGCUAAUAUCGACAGCUGAUGACGGUACCUGAAGAAUAAGCACCGGCUAACUACGUGCCAGCAGCCGCGGUAAUACGUAGGGUGCGAGCGUUAAUCGGAAUUACUGGGCGUAAAGCGAGCGCAGACGGUUACUUAAGCAGGAUGUGAAAUCCCCGGGCUCAACCUGGGAACUGCGUUCUGAACUGGGUGACUAGAGUGUGUCAGAGGGAGGUAGAAUUCCACGUGUAGCAGUGAAAUGCGUAGAGAUGUGGAGGAAUACCGAUGGCGAAGGCAGCCUCCUGGGAUAACACUGACGUUCAUGCUCGAAAGCGUGGGUAGCAAACAGG
rnacentral:rRNA from 1 species